rnacentral:sRNA from 1 species
GGAUGGAUUUAGUCUGGUUGGACUUUCUCAGGAAAGGCAGCUGAACUCAUGACUAGUACCAGUUCCAUGGUUCCUGGAUGUUGCAAAUAAAGGCAUCCUCUCUCACUGCCUGUCCACCUUUCUUACCCAGUCAUUGUCCUCCAUGGUGCAGAGAGGAUUGGAUCCAACAGCUCUCAGAACCUACUCAGGAACUAUGUGUUACCCAAGGAUUACCUGCACUUGCUUACACACCCCUAUUCUGUGUCCUGAAAACUUUUCAAAGCCCAUUCAUCUGAGACUGGUGAGUUCAGGACAGUAGUCCCAAGUGUCUUGUCCUACGCUGACAGUUCAUUCUCAUGAGGCAUCACUUACCCUUGACAGAGGAUUUUUCCAAGGGGCAUUGGAUGUGCAGGAGAAUUGUGUGUGCUGACUCCUGUCAGAUCAGCACAGGAUAGCAUCAAGGCCCCAUUUGCUCUUGAUUUUGGAACUCAUGGUCUUGGCACUGUCUUGUUGUUAUUUAGGUCCCUGUCAGUCCCUAAUUGAAUUUUAGCAUGGGAACCCAGGGCAGUUGUCUUCAAAGAUA